rnacentral:rRNA from 1 species
UACGAAGGGUGCAAGCGUUACUCGGAAUUACUGGGCGUAAAGCGUGCGUAGGCGGUUUGUCGCGUCUGCCGUGAAAGUCCGGGGCUCAACUCCGGAUCUGCAGUGGGUACGGGCAGACUAGAGUGCGGUAGGGGAGAUUGGAAUUCCUGGUGUAGCGGUGGAAUGCGCAGAUAUCAGGAGGAACACCGAUGGCGAAGGCAGAUCUCUGGGCCGUAACUGACGCUGAGGAGCGAAAGCGUGGGGAGCGAACAGG